rnacentral:lncRNA from 1 species
AAAAAACUACAUUAGCAGUAUAGUUAUAAAUUGCUACAGAAAAUAAACCUCUAUUAUUUUUAAAUAUCUUAUGCUUAAUAAGUUUUUGGUGUAGUCAUCAUUUAUCAAUCAAAUUUGAACACCUUAAAAAAGAUGGUAAAAAACAAUUAUGAUUAUUAUUACUAUUAUUAAUAAUUAAUUAAUUGAUAUGUCUUGUUUUCUC